CAUCCUCGUGCCUGUGUUCGAGGCUGGAGUGGUUGGUUGUGUAGAUUUUUCUGAUGUGAAGAAGGACUUCAUGACCAGCUGGAAAGGCACAGUAUUUGCAAGAUUUGCAAAAAUGAGGAAAUGCAAUUGUUCUUCACUGUGCAGCUCCACUGCAUACUUAUGCUAUGGUUCGGAUUGUAAACAUACCAUGAAGACCACAUGGUAAAAAUUUGGUGUCCAGGCUGGGGUGCCACUGGAAGUUCCCAGUCUGGGAACAGGACUCCACCAUGCGCCCCUGCCAUGGACUGCCACCUCGCUACAGGCCCAAGACCAACAGAGCAACCAACCAUGGACUGAAACCUCCAAAACC